CUCUUUUGUUUGUUUUUGUUUCAUUAGUUUUGCCAACCUGGAGGAUGGCAGCUUUCAAAAGAGAGAAAACAGCCAACGUUCUUUGUGGUGGUUUUGACUGAUAUAGACUCGGAGAGACACUACUGUUCCUGCUUAACUUUCUAUGAAGCAGAGAUUAAUCUACAGGGAACGAAAGAAACUGAAGGAGAAGAGGAGUCUGGUUUAAUUGCGCCUGCUGAAGUCUUUGCUCCUAAGAGUCUGGUGCUUGUGUCCAGACUAGAUUAUCCAGAAAUUUUCAGGGCUUGCCUUGGACUGAUCUAUACUGUGUAUGUGGACAGCCUGAAUGUGUCCCUGGAGGCUCUCAUUGCAAAUCUCUGCUCAUGCCUUGUCCCUGCUUCUGGAGGGUCUCAG